GGUUCAAUGGUGUAGUGGUUAUCACUCCUGUCUUACACACAGGCGGUCGUCGGUUCGAUCCCGGCUUGAACCA
rfam:Phanerochaete carnosa HHB-10118-sp unplaced genomic scaffold PHACAscaffold_5, whole genome shotgun sequence.